UUGGAGGAAUGUAUAGCGAAAGCUACUUGCAUUUAGCUUAGUUAAUGAAUGCAGGAUUGACUAUGUCGAAUAAAGUUCUAGGUGGGUUAUGAUGAUGACAUUUCCUAUCUAUGUGUCUUGACCAAACUACGUGCCAGCAGUCGCGGUAACACGUAAUAGACUAGUGUUAUUCAUCUUUAAUAGGUUUAAAGGGUACCUAGACGGUAAAUCAAGUCCAAGAAGGGUACUAAUUUGCUAGAGUUUAAUGUGAGGGGGCACUAAAGUACUGAUAAGUGUAGAGAUGAAAUUCUGUGAUACAAUAUACGGCACUGGCAAAGGCGAAAGCAUCUCAUUAUGUAAUAACUGACGUUGAGGGACGAAGGCUAGGUGUAGCAAAAAGGAUUAGAUACCCAAGUAGUCUUAGCAGAAAAUUAUGAAUGUCAUAGGAUGGAGAAACAACAAAUUUUUUUUCUAUAAAUGAAAGUGUAAGCAUUCCACCUCGAGAGUAAUUUGGCAACAUUGGAACUGAAAUCAUUAGACCGUUUCUGAAACAAGUAGUGAAGUAUGUUGUUUAAUUUGAUGGUCCGCAAAAAACCUUACCACAAUUUGAAUAGAAAUUUUUUUUUCAUACAAGCGCUGCACGGUUGUCUUCAGUUAAUGUCGUGAGAUCUUGGUUAGUUCCAUUAAAUUAACGUAAACCCUUACUUUAUUUUGAUAUAGAGUAGUUCACCGCUAGAUUGGAUGUGAUAACAGGGACUAAGACAAGUCAUCAUGGCCUUAAUAUUGUGGGCUAUA
rnacentral:rRNA from 1 species